GUCGCGUGUGUGUGUCGGAUGACAAAACUACUGUCGACAUGAUAGGUCCGUUCUGUUUAGCUCAACUGUUUGAAUUGGUGACUCUGGUUAGGAUUGUUCGAAGAGGCUUCAAGUAAUAUUAAUCAGAGUUUUCGUGCGUUCCGUGAGAUUUACACGGAGUACUUGGUAAUCUGGUCACGCUCUUUCCUCUCACAUUCUCACGUGGAAGCUAGAACGCUGGAAUUGGAAGGCAGAAGGAGGAAAUUGAUCGAUGCGUUUCUUCCGUUCGCACAAUCGUUUCGAUAAGGUUCUGUGAGGAAUCAUCCAUCGAGAAAAUACUCGUGACUUAUUUGCGUGUCAAUGUUAUGCAUGUAUUAUAUUCUGGUCGAGAGUUUAACUUCGACGAUAUGUCUCAUCGCGGACAGCACAAAUCAGCUAAAAGACGCCUUGAAGACAUUUAAAAGAAGUAAGAAGUCUUGAACGACAUUAUGAGAUGUAAACAACAAGACGAGGUUAUAAAUGAUCCCAACAUU